rnacentral:rRNA from 1 species
AUUGAACGCUGGCGGCAUGCCUAACACAUGCAAGUCGAACGAGUGGCGGACGGGUGAGUAAUGUCUGGGAACCUGCCUGAUGGAGGGGGAUAACUACUGGAAACGGUAGCUACUACCGCAUACCCUCGGAUGUGCCCAGAUGGGAUUAGCUAGUAGGUGGGGUAACGGCUCACCUAGGCGACGAGCCCUAGCUGGUCUGAGAGGAUGACCAGCCACACUGGAACUGAGACACGGUCCAGACUCCUACGGGAGGCAGCAGUGGGGAAUAUUGCACAAUGGGCGCAAGUCUGAUGCAGCCAUGCCGCGUGUAUGAAGAAGGCCUUCGGGUUGUAAAGUACUUUCAGUGAGGAGGCGUUACUCACAGAAGAAGCACCGGCUAACUCCGUGCCAGCCGCCGCGGUAAUUC